rnacentral:tRNA from 1 species
GCCUAGGUGGCUCAGUCGGUUAAGCGUCUGACUUUGGCUCAGGUCAUGAUCUCACGGUUUGUGGGUUUGAGCCCCGCGUUGGGCU